rnacentral:rRNA from 1 species
GAUGAACGCUGGCGGCGUGCCUAAUACAUGCAAGUCGAGCGAACGGACGAGAAGCUUGCUUCUCUGAUGUUAGCGGCGGACGGGUGAGUAACACGUGGAUAACCUACCUAUAAGACUGGGAUAACUUCGGGAAACCGUAGCUAAUACCGGAUAAUAUUUUGAACCGCAUGGUUCAAAAGUGAAAGACGGUCUUGCUGUCACUUAUAGAUGGAUCCGCGCUGCAUUAGCUAGUUGGUAAGGUAACGGCUUACCAAGGCAACGAUGCAUAGCCGACCUGAGAGGGUGAUAGGCCACACUGGAACUGAGACACGGUCCAGACUCCUACGGGAGGCAGCAGUAGGGAAUCUUCCGCAAUGGGCGAAAGCCUGACGGAGCAACGCCGCGUGAGUGAUGAAGGUCUUCGGAUCGUAAAACUCUGUUAUUAGGGAAGAACAUAUGUGUAAGUAACUGUGCACAUCUUGACGGUACCUAAUCAGAAAGCCACGGCCAACUACGUG